rnacentral:rRNA from 1 species
GAUGAACGCUGGCGGCGUGCCUAAUACAUGCAAGUCGAGCGAACGGACGAGAAGCUUGCCUUUCUGAUGUUAGUGGCGGACGGGUGAGUAACACGUGGAUAACCUACCUAUAAGACUGGGAUAACUUCGGGAAACCGGAGCUAAUACCGGAUAAUAUUUUGAACCGCAUGGUUCAAAAGUGAAAGACGGUCUUGCUGUCACUUAUAGAUGGAUCCGCGCUGCAUUAGCUAGUUGGUAAGGUAACGGCUUACCAAGGCAACGAUGCAUAGCCGACCUGAGAGGGUGAUCGGCCACACUGGAACUGAGACACGGUCCAGACUCCUACGGGAGGCAGCAGUAGGGAAUCUUCCGCAAUGGGCGAAAGCCUGACGGAGCAACGCCGCGUGAGUGAUGAAGGUCUUCGGAUCGUAAAACUCUGUUAUUAGGGAAGAACAUAUGUGUAAGUAACUGUGCACAUCUUGACGGUACCUAAUCAGAAAGCCACGGCUAACUACGUG